rnacentral:lncRNA from 13 species
CUUGAAUUCCUGACCCCGUGAUCCACCUGCUUCAGCCUCCCAAAGUGCUGGAAUUACAGGCCUGAGCCACUGUGCCUGGCCUCUAAUUUUCUACUAUAAAUAAGGAAAAAUGAAAACAUUUAUUUUUUAAAGUGUGGUGAGAAUCAGAAAGGCAGAGAUCAAAGACUGUAAAUAGGACUGAGCCAAUCUAGAGAAACGUUGUGUAGGAAGCAGCGUGAAGGAGGAUGAGGGUGUCAGGGCAGGGGAACACAUGCCUGACAUUCACAGGGCCAGUUCCUUGACUCCUGCACCAUGGUCACUGCCAUUCUGUCUACACCUCUAGCAUGGCCCUCCAGAAUGAACUGCAAGCUUGGAUGAGGCUCUGGAGAGCACUUACAUCCAUUGUUUAAGCUCCAAGAGGCUCGGAUUCCAUGAACUUUGCCAAUGAGAAGGUUGAAAAAUUGGAGUAGCGGAGCCCUGACAGUUCCCAGACCCUCUCACAUAAUCUCUCAAGGAAUCCAGCUUAAUGCAUCAGCCCACUGCAGACAAAAUAACAUAAAACAGAAAAGGGAUCCAGAACCAGGCUCCCAAGAGUCUGACCACACAGCCAGCAGGAGGUCAGAGGUUCUGUUUCCUGGGACAAGGAGGACCUGCAAAAGGAGUGAAAG